CAGCCUCCUGAGUCGGUAGGAUCACAGGUGUGAGCCACUGGUAUUCUAUCGUGAAGAUCUUUCUGUGCUCAAGUUGUGAGUUGAACUUGGUCCUAAAGGUACUAAGAAGAAAGACAUUUAGGAAAUGAUAUUCUAGUACCCUAAGUAAAAAUUAACUCAGAAGAGGCAAUCAUACCCCAAAAUAUCACAGUGUCUCAAGUGUGUUUGCCAAAGAGAGAAAAGAUUUCAAGAACCACAAGCAAAGAU